rnacentral:lncRNA from 1 species
GACAGGGUCCUUCUGUGACACCUGCUGUGUCACCAGGCUGUGCGAAUGGACUCAGCUGCCCGAACUCACAGAAUAUCAGUAACAGCACCGAAACUUCACAGGAAAAAUGCUCCACGAACUUCAGACUUAAAAAGCAUCACUGGCUCCUGACCAGGAUUCCAGCUCCAUGAACCUCAAACUAGAACACCAGCCCGGCUUCUCUGCAGGUCUCCAGCUCCAAAACCUAAGACAUCAGUGGCAGUACAAACUCAUCCCAGGGGCUCCAGCUCCAGGACCCUCAGACUUGAACCGCAGCACCAACUCUUCCCUGGAUCUCCAUCUCCAUGACCCUCAGACUUAAACAGCAGCAGCACCAGUUCAUCUGUGAAUCUCCAGCUCCACAACCCUCCAACUAGAAACACACCAGCUCCUCCCUGGGUCUCCAGCUGCACGACCCUCAAACUACAACAUCAGCUCCUCCCCGGGUCUCUAACUCCAUGACCCUCAAACUAAAACAACACUGCUCACCCCUGGGACUCCAGAUCCACAAACCUUACACUAGAACAGAAACACCAGCUCCUCCACAGAUCUCCAGCUUUACAAUCUAAGACAUUAGUGGCAGCACCAUCUCCUCCUGGGGUCUCAAGCUCCAGGACCCUCAGACUUGAAUCGCAGCACCAGCUCUUCCCCGGAUCUCCAGCUUGACGACCUUCAGACUUAAACAACAAAAGAAUCAGCUCCUCCCUGGGUCUCCAGCACCACAACCCACAAACUAGAAGAACACCACUCCCCCAUGGAUCUCCAGAUCCAUGACCCUCACACUAGAACACCAACACCUGCUCCUCCGUGGGUCUCCAGAUCCACGAACCUCACACUGGAACACCAACACUGGCUCCUCUGCGGGUCUUCAGCUCCACAACCUAAGACAUCAGUGGCAGCAUUGGCUCCUCCCAUGGAUUCCAGCUCCAAGACCCUCACAUUUAAACUGCAAGACCACCUUCUCCCUGUAUCUCCAGCUGCACAACCCUCAAACUAGAACAUCAGCUCCUCCAAUGGUCUUCAGCUGCACGAAACUCAAACUAGAAAAACAACAGCUCCUCCCUGGGUCUCCAGCUCUGCAACCAUCAAACUAGAACACCAUCAGCUCCUCUCCAGGUCUCCAGCUCCACAGCUCUCAAAUAAGAGCAACAUCAGCUUCUCCCUGGGUCUCCAGCUGCACAACCCUCAAACUAGAAAAACACCAGCUCCUGCCUGGGUCUCCAAGCUCCAUGACCCUCAAACUCGAACAACAUCAGCUCCUCCCCACGUCUCCAGCUGCAUGACCCUCAAUCUA